rnacentral:rRNA from 1 species
CCUAACACAUGCAAGUUCGGUACGAUUAAGGUCUCCUCUCGGGAACUGGAGAGUGGCGCACGGGUGAGUAACGCGUGGGGACCUACCUCUUAGUGGGGGAUAACGGUUGGAAACGACCGCUAAUACCGCAUACGCCCUCCGGGGGAAAGAUUUAUCGCUAAGAGAUGGACCCGCGUUGGAUUAGAUAGUUGGUGAGGUAACGGCUCACCAAGUCAGCGAUCCAUAGCUGGUUUGAGAGGAUGAUCAGCCACACUGGGACUGAGACACGGCCCAGACUCCUACGGGAGGCAGCAGUGGGGAAUAUUGGACAAUGGGGGCAACCCUGAUCCAGCCAUGCCGCGUGAGUGAAGAAGGCCUUCGGGUUGUAAAGCUCUUUCAGAUGCGAAGAUGAUGACGGUAACAUCAGAAGAAGCCCCGGCUAAUUUCGUGCCAGCAGCCGCGGUAAUACGAAAGGGGCUAGCGUUGUUCGGAUUUACUGGGCGUAAAGGGCACGCAGGCGGUCUUGCCAGUCAGGGGUGAAAGCCCGGGGCUCAACCCCGGAACUGCCUCUGAUACUGCAAGACUAGAGACUAGGAGAGGGUGGUGGAAUUCCC